rnacentral:rRNA from 1 species
CGGAGGUGCAAGCGUUAUCCGGAUUCACUGGGUUUAAAGGGUGCGUAGGUGGGCAGGUAAGUCAGUGGUGAAAUCUCCGGGCUUAACUCGGAAACUGCCAUUGAUACUAUCUGUCUUGAAUGCCCUGGAGGUAAGCGGAAUAUGUCAUGUAGCGGUGAAAUGCUUAGAUAUGACAUAGAACACCAAUUGCGAAGGCAGCUUACUACGGGGUGAUUGACACUGAGGCACGAAAGCGUGGGGAUCAAACAGGAUUAGAUACCCUGGUAGUCCACGCCCUAAACGAUGGAUACUCGACAUACGCGAUACACAGUGUGUGUCUGAGCGAAAGCAUUAAGUAUCCCACCUGGGAAGUACGAUCGCAAGAUUG